CAGCCGCCACGGUAAUACAGAGGGUGCGAGCGUUAAUCGGAUUUACUGGGCGUAAAGCGUGCGUAGGCGGCUAAUUGAGUCGGAUGUGAAAUCCCCGAGCUUAACUUGGGAAUUGCAUUCGAUACUGGUUAGCUAGAGUGUGGGAGAGGAUGGUAGAAUUCCAGGUGUAGCGGUGAAAUGCGUAGAGAUCUGGAGGAAUACCGAUGGCGAAGGCAGCCAUCUGGCAUAACACUGACGCUGAGGUACGAAAGCAUGGGGAGCAAUCAGGAUUAGAUACCCCUGUAGUCCCUGUCUCUUAUAC
rnacentral:rRNA from 1 species